rnacentral:rRNA from 1 species
GAGUUUGAUCCUGGCUCAGGGUUAACGCUGGCGGUGCGCAUAACACAUGCAAGUCGAGCGAGGGCUUAUUUCUCGCAAGAGAGAUGAGUUCCUAGCGGCGAACGGGUGAGUAACACGUGGGCAACCUUUCCUAUCGCGGGGGAUAACAGCGGGAAACCGCUGCUAAUACCGCAUGUCGUCACUGAUCGCAUGGUUGGUGAAGAAAGCAGCAAUGCACGAUGGGGUGGGCCCGCGGCCUAUCAGCUAGUCGGUGGGGUAACGGCCUACCGAGGCGAUGACGGGUAGCUGGUCUGAGAGGACGGCCAGCCACACGGGGACUGAGACACGGCCCCCGACUCCUACGGGAGGCAGCAGUGAGGAAUCUUCCGCAAUGGGCGAAAGCCUGACGGAGCGACACCGCGUGUGGGAUGAAGUCUUUCGGGA